ACAAGUUACAAAAUGCUUCUACAUUAAAAUAUACUUGCUAUUUAUAGUUUGCCCUUAUUUUGUGCUGUUAUACAACUUUUCAAGGUUAGAUUGAGUGUUGAGUGUUUUCAAACUUGUUUAACCAUGCCACAUUCUUUAUGUGCCUGUUCCAAGCCAGAAGCUUGUAAUCCAGCGAUAGUUGCAGUUUGAUGGCUCUUUUAUAGCUUACUGUAUGGUAUGGGUUUUGCUCAUUUUUGACAGCUGUAUGGUAUUGGGUUUUGCUCAGUAUUGACAGCUGUAUGGUAUGGGUUUUGCUCAUUUUUGACAGCUGUAUGGUAUGGGUUUUGCUCAUUUUAGACAGCUGUAUGGUAUGGGUUUUGCUCAUUAUUGACAGCUGUAUGGUAUGGGCUUUGCUCAUUAUUGACAGCUGUAUGGUAUGGGUUUUGCUCAUUAUUGACAGCUGUAUGGUAUGGGUUUUGCUCAUUUUUGACAGCUGUAUGGUAUUGGGUUUUGCUCAUUUUUGAGAGCUGUAUGGUAUUGGGUUUUGCUCAUUAUUGACAGCUGUAUGGUAUGGGUUUUGCUCAUUUUUGACAGCUGUCUGGUAUUGGGUUUUGCUAAUUUUUGACAGCUGUAUGGUAUGGGUUUUGCUCAUUAUUGACAGCUGUAUGGUAUGGGCUUUGCUCAUUAUUGACAGCUGUAUGGUAUGGGCUUUGCUCAUUAUUGACAGCUGUAUGGUAUGGGUUUUGCUCAUUAUUGACAGCUGUAUGG